CUUCAGACAAGCUUUUUGUGUGUGAGAAGCUGAUCUGCUUAUGGCCUGCACAGCUGCUCCCAGCUCCCUGUGCUCAUGUAAGAAGGGCACAGGUUUGGUGCUGACAGGCAGCAGAGGAUGAUGAUGAAGCUGCUGCCUUGCUUUCCCUGACUGGAGACACAACAGUUUGUCUGCCUUUGUAGAGACUACGUGAAGUUGUUCAGUAUUUGUAAAGCCACGUGGGGAGGCACAUUCCCACCCUCUACCAGGCAGAGGAGCAUUAAGUCAGCCUAGGAGUUCUAUGCAAUGUGAGGAGGCUGGGCUAUAAAAAGAUGUUCAGUUGGAGUGGAGUGGGAGAGCAGUGAGGGUUCUGGAGACUGGGCCCUGUGUUUGAGGUGCAGUCCUGAGACUACCAGGCAGCAGAAGCUGUUCUCUGAAGGUAUUUUACAGGUCAGCCAGGGAAGUAACUGAAUACACUUGCUUGGAGAUAGAAUAAAGGCUCAGAAGAUGUCCAAAUCUGGGUCUCCAGAUGAAGUGGAGAGGCACGUGGCUCCUGCUGGCAUGGCGAAUGAGCGUGUGGAACUCGCCUGGGCUGCAGUUCCUUGGGAGGACAGCUGUUCCCUGAGGCUGGGAAACAGUGUGCCUCUACUGAUGGGACACCAGGGGUGUCAGCACUGGUGUGAGGGGCAGAAAGUAGCUGCACUUCUCAGAGCCCUGUGUCUUUGACAGGAAAACAGAUGCCUGUCCACAAAGUGCUUCAGAGAGGCCACAGAAGGAACAUUUGUUGCAGCCAGCUCGGAUGAAGGGAAGUGAAAAGCACGCUGGGCUGUGUGGGAUGGGGCCAAAGUGCAGCAGCCUCAAAGGAACUUAGAAGUGAAAGUCUUCCAAGGCUGUGUGGGAAAUGAUCAGCUAUGGUUCAGGGAAUGGACAAAGAUGUGAGAAAUCUGUGUUUAGUUUAAACCAGUUCCUGGUUUAGUUCCUUUUCAACAAGUCACUCCAUUCUGGCUGUGGCAUGCUUCUCAAUCUGCAGCCUGAAGGUAAAUCCUUUUCUCUUGUUCUAUUACUUGGGUUGCAAGCUUUUUUACCCCCUUCACAAUGGGUGUUAGCUC
rnacentral:lncRNA from 1 species